AAAUAAGAAGCAAUCUGCAAUUAGUUUCGACCUAAUCAUUGGUAAUUCUGUUACCCUUAUUUA
rnacentral:tRNA from 1 species